AUGCACACAGAGAGUGACGACUGGAGGUUAAAGGUCAUUUAGGUUGUGUGUUAAAAGAUGUUUUCUACACCCUGAGGGAGCCAUGGUGAAGUUUUCGGCUUUAAAAGAAGCUUGUAAACAACAUCUGAUCAGGAUCUCGAGGCUUGACUGGUAUAAUCAAAGUCUGAAGAAGCCCUGAGGUCCUAAACUGAUUAGAAAAGACCUCAUUUACACCCAAAUCAUCACUAAAACCGUCACCUGUCUGGUUCAAGGUGUAAAUAAUGUCUUUUAAAAUAUUUAUUUAAGAUCUCAUUGCUCAUCUGCUGUAAUAAAAGUCUCUGGAAGCCCUGAGAUCCCAAAUUUAAAUGCAAUUAUUUACAUCCUUGACACGUAAUCUAACUCAGAAAAACUCUUACAGCGGGUGUAUAUGACAUCUUUUCAAAUCAGUCUGUUAUCUCUGAGCUUCUGGACACUCGGGAGUGCGACCGACAACCUGUACAGAGCUUUUUAACGACUCCUGUUGGUUGUUUUGUAUGUUUUAAAGCACGUCUCCAUCUACUUCAGCUGUUUACAGAGAGCGCUGUGACAACACUUGGCCGUGAAGCUCCUGAAAUGUUCCUGCAGACGACGAAAACCUGCCUUGACUCUCCAUCAGCAUGAGGAUCGGGUGAUGCGCCUCCCACUGCCUCCCCUCCUCCUUCCUCUCCUCACAUUAAAACUCCAGCAGAGGAGAUCCUGUCAUUAUAAAUAUAAUCCUGCUGAUAAGGUUGAAAUAAUGAUAAUAAAUCAACAACAAAUGUGUUUUAAAAGAC